rnacentral:rRNA from 1 species
CAGUCGAGAAUCUUCGGCAAUGGGCGAAAGCCUGACCGAGCGACGCCGCGUGUGGGAUGAAGGCCCUUGGGUUGUAAACCACUGUCAGAGGGGAUGAAAUGCACGAGAGCAAUCUCUUGUGUUUGACAUAGCCUCAGAGGAAGCACGGGCUAAGUUCGUGCCAGCAGCCGCGGUAAGACGAACUGUGCAAACGUUAUUCGGAAUCACUGGGCUUAAAGGGUGCGUAGGCGGUCUUUUAAGUAGGGUGUGAAAGCCUCUGGCUCAACCAGAGAACUGCGCCCUAAACUAGAAGGCUUGAGUGAGGUAGGGGUGUGUGGAACUUCCAGUGGAGCGGUGAAAUGUGUUGAUAUUGGAAGGAACGCCGGUGGCGAAAGCGACACACUGGACCUUGUCUGACGCUGAGGCACGAAAGCCAGGGGAGCAAACGGGAUUAGA